rnacentral:rRNA from 1 species
AUGGGAGAGACGGCAGUGAAGAAAUGGGUGGAAAAAAUUGGGGAGAAUAUAGUUUGGGGUCCAGAGCAAGAAGUAUCACUGUUGCGGUUUGAUGAUUGGAAAGGAGAGUAUGUGAGAAUAGAAGAUGGUGAACAGAUUGUUGAAGAAAUCGAUCGGCAAAACGGCUGGACAAGCAAACGGGCUAAUUUUUUUGCUGAGCUCGUUGAUCUGAACAUUUUUUCGAAGGUUGGAUAUGUGCCAUCACAAUUGGCUGCGCAGAUGGUAGAUGUUGAUUGGGCUACACAGAGGCCAUUGAUUCCCAUGUGUACUGAACUUACAGUAAUAGCCGAAGAGGGAUAG